rnacentral:rRNA from 1 species
GCAAGUCGAACGGUAACGAUGGAAGCUUGCUUCCAGGCGACGAGUGGCGGACGGGUGAGUAAUGCUUGGGAAUCUGCCUUAUGGUGGGGGACAACACGGGGAAACUCGUGCUAAUACCGCAUAAGCCCUACGGGGGAAAGCGGGGGAUCUUCGGACCUCGCGCCAUUAGAUGAGCCCAAGUUGGAUUAGCUUGUUGGUGGGGUAAAGGCCUACCAAGGCGACGAUCUCUAGCUGGUCUGAGAGGAUGAUC